UGAACGCACAUUGCGCCCCUUGGUAUUCCGAGGGGCAUGCCUGUUCGAGCGUCAUUUCACCAAUCAAGCCCCGCUUGGUAUUGGGCGACCGGGCCGGCCCCCCGCGGCCGGCCCGCCCGAAAUGCAUCGGCGAGGCACCGACCCCCGGCGUGUUAGAAUUUCGAAACGUCGAGAGCACCGGUGUCCCCUCCGCCGCGAAACCUUUUUAUAUUUUUCUCAAGGUUGACCUCGGAUCAGGUAGGAAUACCCGCUGAACUUAA
rnacentral:misc_RNA from 1 species